UACGGGGGGUGCAAGCGUUGUUCGGAAUUACUGGGCGUAAAGGGCUCGUAGGCGGCCAACUAAGUCGGACGUGAAAUCCCUCGGCUUAACCGGGGAACUGCGUCCGAUACUGGAUGGCUUGAGUUCGGGAGAGGGAUGCGGAAUUCCAGGUGUAGCGGUGAAAUGCGUAGAUAUCUGGAGGAACACCGGUGGCGAAGGCGGCAUCCUGGACCGACACUGACGCUGAGGAGCGAAAGCCAGGGGAGCAAACGGG
rnacentral:rRNA from 1 species